CAAUAGCGUAUAUUAAAGUUGUUGCAGUUAAAAAGCUCGUAGUUGGAUUUCUGGUCGGAAGCUCCUGUCCUCUGAUGAGCGUACAAGUGCGUCCUACCAUCCUUCUGUUAACCUUUAAGGCUUUCGCGGCUUUCUAGGGGCUCAGAUAUUUUACCUUGAGAAAAUUAGAGUGUUUCAGGCAGGCCAGCGCCGGAAUACAUUAGCAUGGAAUAAUGGAAUAGGACUUUUGCCUCUUCUGUUGGUCAUGAGGCUCGAGUAAUGAUUAAUAGGGAUAGUUGGGGGCAUUAGUACUUAACUGUCAGAGGUGAAAUUCUCGGAUUUGUUAAAGACUAACUUAUGCGAAAGCAUUUGCCAAGGAUGUUUUCAUUAA
rnacentral:rRNA from 1 species